rnacentral:rRNA from 1 species
GACGAACGCUGGCGGCGUGCCUAAUACAUGCAAGUCGAGCGAAUGGAUUAAGAGCUUGCUCUUAUGAAGUUAGCGGCGGACGGGUGAGUAACACGUGGGUAACCUGCCCAUAAGACUGGGAUAACUCCGGGAAACCGGGGCUAAUACCGGAUAACAUUUUGAACCGCAUGGUUCGAAAUUGAAAGGCGGCUUCGGCUGUCACUUAUGGAUGGACCCGCGUCGCAUUAGCUAGUUGGUGAGGUAACGGCUCAACAAGGCAACGAUGCGUAGCCGACCUGAGGUGGUGAUCGGCCACACUGGGACUGAGACGCGGCCCAGACUCCUACGGGAGGCAGCAGUAGGGAAUCUUCCGCAAUGGACGAAAGUCUGACGGAGCAACGCCGUGUGAGUGAUGAAGGCUUUCGGGUCGUAAAACUCUGUUGUUAGGGAAGAACAAGUGCUAGUUGAAUAAGCUGGCACCUUGACGGUACUUAACCAGAAAGCCACGGCUAACUACGUGCCAGCCGCCGCUGUAA